rnacentral:tRNA from 1 species
GUGGCUCAGCAGUUAAGAGCACUGGCUGCUCUUCCAGAGGUCCUGAGUUCAAUUCUCAGC